UACGUAGGGUGCGAGCGUUGUCCGGAAUUAUUGGGCGUAAAGAGCUUGUAGGCGGUUUGUCGCGUCUGCUGUGAAAAUCCGGGGCUCAACCCCGGACUUGCAGUGGGUACGGGCAGACUAGAGUGUGGUAGGGGAGACUGGAAUUCCUGGUGUAGCGGUGAAAUGCGCAGAUAUCAGGAGGAACACCGAUGGCGAAGGCAGGUCUCUGGGCCACUACUGACGCUGAGAAGCGAAAGCAUGGGGAGCGAACAGGAUUAGAUACCCCGGUA
rnacentral:rRNA from 1 species